rnacentral:lncRNA from 1 species
AAGUACUUCGAUAAAGGAAGAACGAUUGUAUAUGAGUUAGAUACAGUCGUUUAAGGAAAUAUGGGUAGUUAGAGAAAGGAGUGAAUAGUGAUUCACUGCAUUUGUUGUUAUCUUUUCUAUUAUUCACUCGAACACAUGUUUUCGUGUUAUCAAAGGUUCAAAUAAACAAAAGCGCCUGAGUAACCUAUCGCGCUAAGGAAAGAGAAUCAUUGUCUUAAGUAGCAAAACACUGCAACCAGGUGGGCAUUACUUUCAUACAUAUCAAAUGAGUUUAAAUGUUACGUUCAAGCAAGUUAUUUCAUGACAGAAUCUUUGAGUUGAAGUUAUUUCAAGUAUUGUCUUGCCAAAAAAUGUUUCAAUUUCAGUAUGAUAUCUAUCUGAUGUGGCUUUGCCAGUUAUCAUGUAAUCGAAUUCGGGUCUUGAGCAGUUGAUAGCUAUCCUGCCUUGACUAGUGUACACGAGGGACCGUGAGUCAUCUAACGGGUUGGCCGGUCCGGUGUCCGUUGAGAGGUGGCCACCUCUCCGGCACUCAGCUUCAGAUAUGAUAGAUCAAGAGAACUUAGACUGCAGUCGAACUUUAAGAAUCACAAAUGAAUUUAGUAAGCUUGGGCCUUUUAGCGAAAACUCCCUUGCUGUACUGUUAUGAUGGCAUGACAAUUUACGUUUUUUCUUUUGAAGCAUGCAUGUUUAUUUUAUCUAGGCAUACGUGUCCACUGAGUACCUUUAUACUCAACCAUGCAUAUAUUUCUAAAUGUGCAGGUUGAGCCGUGGACGGUGGUGAUGAAGUGACGGGCGGAAACCUCCUUUUGUCUCAAGUUAUAUGUAUUGAUUAACUCUUGGGUACAUGU